rnacentral:rRNA from 1 species
GACGAACGCUGGCGGCGUGCUUAACACAUGCAAGUCGAACGGAAAGGCCCUGCUUUUGUGGGGUGCUCGAGUGGCGAAGGGGUGAGUAACACGUGAGUAUCCUGCCCCUGACUUUGGGAUAAAUUCAGGGAACUCGGGCUCAAAUCGGGUAUAAGCUCCUGCUGCAUGGUGGGGGAUGGUAAGUUUCGGCUGUUCGGGAUGGACUCGCGGCUUAUCAGCUUGUUGGUGGGGUAGUGGCGUUCCAAGGUUUUGACGGGUAGGCGGCCUGAGAGCGUGACCGGCCACAAUGCGACUGAGAUACGCCGCAGACGGCUACGGGACGCAGUAGUGGGGAAUAUUACGCAGUGAGCGGACGCGUGAUACAGCAACGCCGCGUGCGGGAAGCCGGCCUACGAGUUGUAAACAGCUUUCGACUGUGGCGAAGCGUGAGUGACGGUAAUGGGUCAAGAAGCACCGGCUAACUACGUG